CCUACGGGUGGCUGCAGUGGGGAAUAUUGGACAAUGGGCGCAAGCCUGAUCCAGCAAUACCGCGUGUGUGAAGAAGGCCUGAGGGUUGUAAAGCACUUUUAAUCGGGAGGAAUAGCGGUCGGUUAAUACCCGGUCGUCUGACAUUACCGAUAGAAAAAGCACCGGCUAACUCCGUGCCAGCAGCCGCGGUAAUACGGAGGGUGCAAGCGUUAAGCGGAAUUUCCGGGCGUGAUUCGUGCGUAGGCGGUUGAAAGCCCCGGGCGUAACCUGGGAACGGCAUUUGAAACUGAUCGACUGGAGUUGGGUAGAGGGGAGUGGAAUUUCAGGUGUAGCGGUGAAAUGCGUAGAUAUCUGAAGGAACACCAGUGGCGAAGGCGGCUCCCUGGACCCAAACUGACGCUGAGGCACGAAAGCGUGGGUAGCAAACAGGAUUAGAUACCCGGGUAGUC
rnacentral:rRNA from 1 species